rnacentral:misc_RNA from 1 species
UCUCCGUUGGUGAACCAGCGGAGGGAUCAUUACGAAAAGGAGUAUUCGUACUCUUGAACCCUUUGUGAACUUACCUUAUUGUCAGUUGCUUCGUCGUGAGGCCCCUGGGAGGGGCCCCGGGGCCCGGCCUGAGCCGGGCUCCCGCCGGAGGAGCGCAAACCAAAACUCUUGCUGUACCUCAGUGGAACAUCCGAGUUAAAACAAAAAACAAGUUAAAACUUUCAACAACGGAUCUCUUGGUUCUGGCAUCGAUGAAGAACGCAGC